CCCGAAACCUCCCCUGUGCGCCGUUUGCUAUCGAGUUGGUGUUCUUACCAAUACCCCGCCCUCGGUUCCUUUUUUUGGGGUCUUGCGUGUCAUGUACUUCAACCUCAUCAGGUCCACAGAUGGAUAUUUCUCUGUUAUGUAGCCGCGAAUGGCCUGCGAUGAGACCAUUCGAGAGUCCAACUCCUUCAGCGCUUCUUUAACCAUCACCAUCGUAGGUGGAUGAAGAGAAGUUUUCCGUGCCACAGCAGAUACCUUCCAGUACAUCAAAGCCAAAGAUCUUCCUCGGCCCAGUCUAACAGUGAUUCCUGCAGUCAUCAAAGAGAGAGACUCAGUUCAGCUGAACUGUCAGACUCCUUCAUCUGUCUCUGAGUGUUACUUCAAAAUGGAAGGGCAAGUGGAAUUCACCCUACCAUCACCCUGUCAACAGACUCUCACAGGAACACUACUGGUGAGGUGGACAGGUCAGAGUUCACCAGCUGAGGUCAAAAUACAAUGUCAGUACAGUGCUACAGGUUCACAGUUUAGAUCCAUGUUCAGUGAGCCUUCAACAGUCACAAUUCAGG
rnacentral:lncRNA from 1 species